GGUGGGCUCGCGUCUGAUUAGCUAGUGGGCGGGGUAACGGCCCACCAAGGUGACGAUCAGUAGCCGACCUGAGAGGGUGAUCGGCCACACUGGGACUGAGGCACGGCCCAGACUCCUACGGGAGGCAGCAGUGGGGAAUAUUGGGCAAUGGGCGAAAGCCUGACCCAGCAACGCCGCGUGAGGGAAGAAGGUUUUCGGAUCGUAAACCUCUGUCCUUAGUGAAGAGAAAGAGACGGUAGCUAAGGAGGAAGCCCCGGCUAACUACGUGCCAGCAGCCGCGGUAAUACGUAGGGGGCGAGCGUUGUCCGGAAUGAUUGGGCGUAGAGGGCGCGUAGGCGGCCUGUUAAGUCCGGAGUGAAGUUCCUGCUUUCAAGGUAGGAAGUGCUUUGGAAACUGGCGGGCUGGAGUGCAGGAGAGGUUAGCGGAAUUCCCGGUGUAGCGGUGAAAUGCGUAGAGAUCGGGAGGAACACCAGUGGCGAAGGCGGCUAACUGGACUGUAACUGACGCUGAGGCGCGAAAGUGUGGGGAGCAAACAGGAUUAGAUACCCUGGUAGUCCACACCGUAAA
rnacentral:rRNA from 1 species